rnacentral:rRNA from 1 species
UACGUAGGGUGCGAGCGUUGUCCGGAAUUAUUGGGCGUAAAGGGCUCGUAGGCGGUUUGUCGCGUCGGGAGUGAAAACCUUGGGCUUAACUCAGGGCUUGCUUUCGAUACGGGCAGACUAGAGGUAUGCAGGGGAGAACGGAAUUCCUGGUGUAGCGGUGAAAUGCGCAGAUAUCAGGAGGAACACCGAUGGCGAAGGCAGCUCGCUGGGACGGUACUGACGCUGAGGCGCGAAAGCGUGGGGAGCAAACAGG